UCCACGGUCACGCAAGGCAGGGCCGGCCUUGUGGGGAGAGGGGCGGGAGACACCCGGGUUCCCAGCAGGCAUCGCGCGCGAAUCCUUAGAGAAGCCCGGGCGGGGCAUCAGGUCACCACGCUCUCGCUUGGGCGUUCCCAGCAUGCCACGCGCGCGCGACCUUCCCCGCGUCCCAGGAACCUGCCUCAGUUUACCCUCCCAUGCCACGGGUGCGGGAUGCAAGGCAGGGGGGAUAAUGACAAAUGUGCUAGGUCGGAGUUGGCACGGUGGUCGCGACCCCCAGAGGGUCCCGUACGCGCAUGCGCCACUCAGUGCAUGGAGCGGGUGGUUCUUUCCAUAAUUCUGUGCCUGCGGGCCCCGCUUCCCCGGUCGUAUCCUGGAGUCGCGGGGUAUUCGGGGCGAAGCAGCAGGGACCGCCAAGGGCGCCGGAAACACAUGCAGCCCGAGAUUCCUUGCACACCGAGCCUCCCUGCAGUGCUCCUGCUGCUCCUCCUUUGAACUGCACUGGAAGUCUGACUAUACCCCUGUGCCUGCUACAUCCCCACCAAGGUCCACUGCAACUUCCAGCCUCUGGUACCACUUCACCUCGGGGAUCCUCUGUGAUGUGGAGAGGAUCAACAUGGUUCACAUGCAGGUUCCCGGGUGUCGGGAGGAUGACCUGGGAUUUGAACUUGGAAUCGAACUCAGAUCCUUGAAUUUGGCCACAGUCGCCCCCAGGUCUCUAAACACAUCUGGCUUCCCUCGGAGACUGGGGAUUCAAACUCUGGUCUUCAUACUUGCCCGCAGUUGACUCCAGCCCUGGAGCCCUAUAGUGCACUCUGAUAAAGUGCAUGAGCUGAUCAGCAUUCACCUUCCCAGACCUGGAAUUCGAACUGGGAUCCUUCCUGACACUUGGCCACAGUUCCCUAACCACACUCAGCCCAAUAAUGUAACCCUGUAUCAUGCAUGUGCAGAACCAUGAGCUUCUACCCUCCAACACCUGAGAUUCAAACUUGGAUCCCUGUGGUUAGCUGCAGUCGCAUCUAGCCCUGGAGGUCUAUAUCCUCUUUAGACCCUAAGCCCUAUAAUGCACCCCAGUGAGACAAAUUGCACUUUUGGCUUUCCUCAGGGACUUGGAAUUCGAACUGAGAUCCUUUAUGACAUUUGGCCAUAGUCAUCUUCAUCCUCCAGCCUUAUACUGCACUCCAAUAUCAUGCUUGUGCAGAAUCUCCUUUAUCCUCGAACCUUGGAUUUGAACUUGAAUCCUACCCUUUUGCCGCAGUCACCUGCAGCCCCUGAGCCCUAUAGUGUACCCCAGGCACUCACAAAUGCACAUAUGCCUACCCCCACACACCAGGAUUUGAAUUUGUAUCCUCAAGUCCUGAGCCCUAUAGUGUACCCCUGUAACAUACACACUUCCGUUUUCCCGCCUGCAGAGACUGGGCAUUUGAACUCAUAAUCUGACAUUUGGCGGCAAUCCCCUAAGUACACUCAGCCCUAGAGUGCAUGCAUGUGCAGAAUCGUCUCUGUCCUGGCAAUCUCGGAAUUUGAACACAGCCUCAUGUUUGGCUGCAGUCCCCACCAGGUCCUCAGCUAUACAGUGCAUCCCCUUAACUCACAUAUGCCAUUCUGGCGUCUCAGCCCAUGGAGACAAGGGAUUCGAACCCAGAUCCUCAUGUUUGGCCACAGUUCCUUUACUGCACUUAGCUUUAUAGUGAACUCUGGUAACUCACAUCUGCACUUCUGACUUUCCCUCCUCCCCCAGGGACCAGGGAUUCAAACUCAUAUCCUAGUAUAUGGCGGCAGUCAUCCCCAGCCCCUGAGCCCUAUAGUGCACCCCGGAAACUCACAUAUGCAUUUGUGGCUUCCCUGCCCCCAGGGACCAGGCAUUCAAACUCAGAUCCUGACAUUUGGCUGCAGUCACCUAAGUACACUCAGCCCUAGAGUAUCACCCCCCCCAUUUUCGAUUGUUCAUUUGUUGUUUGCUGCUCACUGACUCUGUUGUAGAUGGUCUCUCCAGCUGUCGGUGACUGAUUGGUUAAGGUUGUUAGUUGAUUAUUAGUUGAUCGUUGACUGAUUAUCGUUUGGUUGAUUAUCAGUUGAUUGUUGAUUGAUAUUAUCAGUUGGCCAUUGAUGACCUCUGGAUGGAAGGGUGGUUUUCGAUCAGGAUGUUUGUUGAUUGAUGAUCAAUUGUUGAUUUUCAGUUGUUGUUGGAAUACUGACUUAUUGUUUAUUGAUCUUUGGGGUCGGUUAUGGAUUGAUUGUGCAUAUUGUUUGAUUUUUUAUUGAUCAUUAUUUUUUAUAAUCAUUGGUUAUGGAUUGCCAGCUAUAUGGAUUGGUUGUUGAUGAUUGAUUGGUUACUGAUUUUUUUUUUUUUUGGUUUUUACGAGACAGGGUUUCUCUGUAUUGUUUUGGAGGCUAUCGGUCCAGCCCGGCCUCGAACUCACAGAGAUCCGCCUGCCUCUGCCUCCCGAGUGCUGGGAUUAAAGGCGUGCGCCGCCACCGCCUGGCCUGAUUGUUUAUUAUUGAUGGGGUAUUGACUGAAGAUUGGCUGAGUAUUGACUGACUACUGGUCGCUUGUUUAUUGAAUUAAUUUAUUAUUGAUUGACUUUGGGCUGUUUGUUGAUUGAUUGGCUAUCAGUAGUUUGUUGACUGAUGGUGAAAGUCAUGCUGUCACACCUGGGAAUGGCACAUAGGUGUGUUGUAAAUGGAGCUCCUUAGACAGCAAGGCCCUUUGGAGAAUCUCAUCCAUUUGUCAAGGACCUAUAAAUACAGUACUGCAGACUCCUGCGCUGACCUUGGGAAGCUCAUGGGCUCCAGGCUUCUCUAACUUUUGCUAUGCUUAAUCCUAUGGUAACUCUUAGUUUUGCUUUGUUAGUUGUGGUUAUGCCUGUAUUAAGUGGGAAUUAUAGAAAAAUUACAUUUCUCUGAUCUGUUACAGAAACCAGUUUCUCCGGUCGUCCCUGGCUGCCUCUGCAGUUACCUAAGUAAGAGGAACUCACUAAGGUUAAUGAUUAUUGCUUAUUCAAUUCCAAAAGAGAAAGAUAUACUUCAAAGAACUUACGUUUCUUAAAAGAUGACAUUAAAAACCUUAUAGGAACACAGAAGGAAAAAGAGAUAGCAUGUGAAAGGUCAGACAUCUCUCUGGCACCAAGACAUGAACACUUAGAUACUUUUCCAAUAUCAAAGGAUCAAUAAAGGAAUCUAAAACUCUGAGUUCCUUUAAAAGAAAAGUACAUGUAGAAAUUGCCAGGAAGAAUGGAAGCUUAGUCUCAAUAGUUAAUAUAUUUAGAUAUUGAUCAUUAUUAUCUUGAGAAUUUAUAAUAGGAUUAUAACUGUAAUCCAUAUAAUAAUGAUGAUAUACAGAUUACUCAGAAACUGGUAUACACCUGAAAAUGAUACUCUAGGUAUCACAAUAUAUUCAGCUGAUUUCAUAUUGUUAACUGAUAAUCACUGGACUUAAAUAACUUACUUUGUAACUGCAUGUUUGUUGCUGGCUGGGGCACAGUGUGAAUAAGAUGUACCUAGCUAGAUAUAAACAUUUGGCUGCUAUAUAAUUAUAUGGGGUAAAGAUCAAUGAUGUCAAGGGAGUGGGAAGGAAGAAAAACUAAAAUGUUAACAAUUCUUGGAAAAUGAUUUGAAACUGCUCAUUUUGACUGCAUUAGAACUGUACAAAUAAAGGCAGCCUGAGCUGAAAGACAA